AUUGAACGCUGGCGGCAGGCCUAACACAUGCAAGUCGAACGGUAACAGGAAGAAGCUUGCUUCUUUGCUGACGAGUGGCGGCCGGGUGAGUAAUGUCUGGGAAACUGCCUGAUGGAGGGGGAUAACUACUGGAAACGGUAGCUAAUACCGCAUAACGUCGCAAGACCAAAGAGGGGGACCUUCGGGCCUUUUGCCAUCGGAUGUGCCCAGAUGGGAUUAGCUAGUAGGUGGGGUACCGGCUCACCUAGGCGACGAUCCCUAGCUGGUCUGAGAGGAUGACCAGCCACACUGGAACUGAGACACGGUCCAGACUCCUACGGGAGGCAGCAGUGGGGAAUAUUGCACAAUGGGCGCAAGCCUGAUGCAGCCAUGCCGCGUGUAUGAAGAAGGCCUUCGGGUUGUAAAGUACUUUCAGCGGGGAGGAAGGGAGUAAAGUUAAUACCUUUGCUCAUUGACGUUACCCGCAGAAGAAGCACCGGCUAACUCCGUG
rnacentral:rRNA from 1 species